AUAUACCGAAAAGAUUGUAAUUAAAUGAUGGGGUGUGACUGUGUGAGCUUUGAGUAGAGCAAUAGAAAAAUAAUGGGGUCGAGAGGGCUGGCGAGCAACAUCAACAUUGUCAGCAGCGGAGAAAAAGAAGGCUAAACGCAGAGAGAUACUGGAAAAGAAGAAGGCAAUUGAUGAAUUGAUAAAAGAAGCUUCUUCUUAGAAGGACCAUCUUGUUUCUUUCGAACCCUUUUGUCAUUACAAUAGAAAUGGUCAAUAUGGAGGGCCUGUUUGGCCCCAAGUGGUCUACAGAAGAACAGAUGAAGCGUAGGGACAGGAUGGCUUCAGAAGCAUGUUAUAGUUUUUUUUCACGAGGCUCCAAAUUCCAGUGUUGAUAAAAUGUCAAUAAAGUUAGAUAAGAGCCCCUUGGUUGGAUUUGUAAACUAUCGCUUUACUCUUGAGGAAGAGAUACCUGUUCUUUAUGUGUAUGAAAUACAGCUCGAGUCUCGUGUCCAAGGGAAGGGACUGGGGAAAUUAUUUAUGCAAUAAAUUGAGCUUGUUGCUCGCAAGGUGCUGAUGCCCUUUCUUGUCAGCCCUUUAAUGGUUGCGAAUAACUAAUUAGAUAUACAAAUACACACAUGUUUCUAGGUUUUCUUAUUAAACAGGAUACAAUUAUAUAACCCAUCUUUCUCUUCCUCUCUGUAAAUCUCAACUCUCUUCACUUUGUACUUCAGAAUUAACUAUUCUAGGUUCAUGUUGUGCUUCAUCAUAUUUGAUAUUUAAUUUAGUCAUUUCACCUUCUCUAGAAUCACAUGAGUGCUGUAGUCCUAACAGUUAAAAAAGCUAAUGCAGUAGCUAUGAAUUUCUACGAAAGUAAGCUGAGGUAUGUCUUUUUCUCGACAAUACUGCUAUCUUAGUGAUCUCUUAAAUUUGUGACAUUUAGCUCUGAGAUUCUUGGUUGAGUGGCUCUCAUUCACUAGAUAAAAUGCAAUAGUAAUGAGUAUUAUUAGAUGCUGAUGGCAAUUCGCAACCAGAAGAAACCUCUUUCCUUCCCAGGCUGCUAACUAUUUUCCCACCAAUUCAUAAUAUUUCUUUACCAUUUAUGCCUGAAUUGUUUUUUUAAUCCAUCAGUCACUUUCAAGCAUUUCACCACCGAGAGUUGAUCCCUUGGUGUGUUAUUAUUGACUAUAUUAUGUACAGUAUGUACAAUUUACAUCCAACCCUCUCCCCUCCCUCUUCUGUUUGAAGAAGCUUUAUCCCUUCACAGAUGGGACUUGAGAAAAGUUACGUGAUUCUCUGCAAAGCGUUUGACCAUGAAGCCAAAGCUAUUUUGGAGGUACGAACUAUCACAUUCUUUUCUGUGAAUAAUAAUGUUGUAACCCUAAACUCUGUGCCAUUGUGCUUGUGUGAGAAUUCAGGAUAGAAAAGGAAGCUUUCUUCCAGGUAUUGUUAUGGAUACUUCUUGCAAGUUGCAUAUUUUGAUAUGCUUAUGUUUUUACAUGACAACCCUUUGUAAAUAAACAUACAGGUGAUUGAAAAUUUCAGUAAUAUAUUCCUAGUAUUGUGCAGUUAAAUGUUAGUGUUAAAGAGUAAAAAACUGCAUUGCAAUUAAGGUAUUGUUUCUGGAAUCCAGUCUUCAACAAAUCAACCAAUGCAUUUUCAUGGGUUAAGAGGUUUCAUUGCUGCCAAUAGUGUUUCUCUGUUCAUUCUGGAAAUAUUUUUCUGUUGACUUGUACUUGUGGAUUGCAAAUCUUUUAAUUUCUUCUUGGUAUUGCUUUUCCAUCUACUAAAUACCGUGUCUGGAAAGCUUCUUGCAUUAACUUCUAAUGAGAAGACUUACGUAAAUAAAUAUUCCAAAGAUGAGGAUGAGCACAUGAAUUCUGUCACAGGGUAGAAGCUUUUUUGCUUCCUGUGGGCUUCUUGCUUAUUUUCUUAGGUGACUCUAAGAGCAGCAUAGUAUGGCACGUGCUAUGUAUUUUAGUUCCAUCAUAUUCGUUUUCUGAAAAUUGUGCUCAUAAAUAUUUUGAAACUUGUUGCUAUUUGGUGGUGUUUACAGCUUCCCUUUGAUUUUUUGCGUAAAAGAGCAUGUAAUGACCAAGAGUUAUACUAGCAAGCUAGUUCAUUGAGCUUAUGAAGUCCUGUAGUGGAACUUUCAUCGGUAAAUAUGAUGGAAUAUAUUGUUGAUUGGAUGCAAAAGUCUCCAUCAUUUCGUAUUUUUUUGGUGCAGUUUAACAGGGGGGAAAUUUAAGCUUUUGAGGUCACUCACACAAAUUCUUUCAACAUAUAUUGUAAUUGAAUAAUCUUUUCACUCUCCAUUAUAAAGAAAAUUUAUUUUGAUUUUCCUAUGCAGGGAAGUGGAUGAGUAGGAUAGAGAUGACUAUUCAACAUAUUUUUUAUGUAUUUUUCUGAAUCAAACCUUUUUUUUCUGCAUGUUCUUUCUCUUUUCCUAUUCUUAAAUACAAAAUAGAAUAAACUAAUGAUAUAGAAUCAUUAUAAUUGAUUCUAUGCAUGAACCAUCUGAUUAGUGAUGCUCUUCACCAUCGUUCACAAUUGAACUUUUUUUCUUUUCUUUUGCUUUUUCUCAAAGAUGAGGGCUUAGUACUAUGGUAGUUGAUACUUUGCGAAACUGCAUCGUGUUUUAAUGUUUCACUAAAUUCUAUCAAAAACUAUCUGCGUGAUGCAAUGUGGUGUUUGUACGAUUGAAAUUAAAUCUAGGAUUGGAAUUUGAGUAUUGACAGAUACUGUUGGCUUCUAAAUGAAGUACAGUGUAGGGUCUUAGUUAUAAAGAGUGCUGGGGUAAUAAGUGGAAUGUGGAUAAUUGUGUGAAAAGCGGUCACUAAUAAGUCAUUGAGCUUUUCUCUAUCUGUUGUUGUUUCUUGGUAGUAUUUUUUUUCUUGGGGAGGGGGGUAUUGCGCUGAUUCAUGGAGAAGACUAGGUUAUCUUACAUUUCUUUAAUUCAGCAAGAACUUACUUGAAUGAGAGAAAUUCAUGCUCUAAGAAAACUUUGUUUUUCUAGGAACUACACACUUGCCAAUUUUAACAAAUAGUUCACUAAAAUACAAAAAAGAAAAAGAAAGAAAAGAAAAUUAGUGAAUGUUGUGUGAAAUCUGUUAAUGUUACAAAAUCAUUUCCUUUGCAGGAUUUUUCUUGAAUAAAUUUCACAUGAACAAAAUUUUUUUUAGUGUAGGUUGUCUGGUAGUGCCUUUCUAGCUCUAUUUAGGAAAUGACAGAAGUGAACUUCUAGGAUUGCAUUUGACAUUUAGCAUGACUUUGUAUAGUUGUUAAUUGUGUCAAUAAAAUCUUCUGAAGGCACAGGGAGAUAGAUGGGUAUGAACAGAGAAAACAAAGCUCCUGGAUAAUAUUAUUGAUCAGAAAUUGUCACAACUAUUGUAACUGUGAUUUUAUUUUUGAGUCCUCUAACCUGGUAACCAACUUAAAUUGAAACCCAUAUGAUGAAGUAAAAUUUGAUCAGAAUUUAUAGCCACUAUGCUUCAUUGUUGGAAAAUUUUCUUCAUCAGCAUGCCAACAACUUACAAUUGUGAAAUAUCUAAUUAGUUUGAUAUAUUUCUUAUCUUUUUCCACAAAUCCCCUUUUUUUCUGGUCUUCUUUUUGUUUCCAGACAUUAUUUAUAAAACCUCUCAUAUGUUUCGUUAUUGGAAUAGCCUCUUCUCUUGCUUUUUUCUAAUGCUCAUGCUCCGAUUUAAUACAACAAAAUAUUGGUAGAUCAUUGGCAUUUCCAAGAAGUAUAGCACACGGACAAUCCAGGAGUUUGUAGCGUGUAUGAUCUUAAUUUAAAAGGCAUUUUUAAAAGGUUUGUAGGCUUAUUUUUUUUUACUAGAUUUUCUUUAAAGUCUCCAAAUAUAUAGAUAACUGCUUUGAAAUAGUUAAUCACUGGAAUUUACAGUGUGCUGAAUUCUUAUGAAAGAUUCAGUAUAUUCCUUUUCUUCUAAUUCAUGUGGGCGUUUGAAAGUAUAUGAAAAUUUGCAUGCUGGGAUGUUGCCUAAUUUCACUGUGUUCAUGCAGCUUCAAGAACCUUUUGUUUUACUGACAUUUCCUCAUUACUUUGGCCUUAGGUUAUAAACUUGUUGGUGUCAUGCUUUACAUGCUAGUGCUAAUGUCCAGGAAAGAGAUUUCCUUUUCUUUUACUGUUUCUUCAUUUGUUUAAUGUGGAUAGACUCUGUUUGGUAAUGCUGAAAGUGAAUAAAAGUGCUUUUCAAAGUGCAUUUAUGCUGAAAAGCAUCAUUUUGAUGUCUUUUCAGCACAAUUUUACAAAAAUACCUGCACGGCAUUACCAUACACACGCAAAAUCAUGUUCUAGGUCUGGUCUACAUGGUGAAAGAGAGCCCUUUGUUUUGAAUGGAAAAAAAAAACAUUUCAAAACUGCACUGUUCAAAUUUUGGGCAUCAUUUUCAAGAUGUUUGCAUGUCAUUUUGGAGACUAUAAAACGAAGGGGCCUAGGACCUUCAUAUGCAAACUAGAUGGAAGCAAAGGUUUUUUAUAUAGGAAUUUGGGAUCCAAGCGGAUUGUCAAAAUUUCACUCUAAAGAAAAGUUUCUUUGAUUUAGAUCCAGAACAAUGAAAGGCUAUAACUCAACUUGAGCCGGUCUAGGAACGAUAGAUUCUUAUAGAAGUUUGGUAGGAAAGGCUUGUUCAGUGUUAAAUCAUUCUAUGAAACUUUAGAGGAAAUUGAUAGGUUGUUCAUGCUAUUGUAAAGAUGUUAUGUGGAGAAGAUUAAUUCUGGCAAUAUUGAAGGGAAAUUAUGAUAGAGGAAGUAUUGUCCAGAUAGGUUGCUCAGAAAAUGCUAUCUUAUUUAUUAAAAAAAAGGCUAAUAAUCUUGUAGCAUAUGUCAGAGAGGGAUUGUUUUGUUUGUAUUUGGACUGAGUGUACAAGUUGAUGGGACCUAUAACAGGGUAUACCUUGAUUGUUGGGACUUUACUUGAAUUGAAUUUUUGCUGGCAUUUUGAGUUUUCGCCCGUUGGUGUCAUUUGAAUUGUAAGCAGUGCUCUGAAAACUAAUUAUGUAUGUAUGAAGGUAGAAAGUUAUUCUUUGCUUAAUUGCUGUUUUGGGUGCUAAUUUUCUAAAGGUUAUUGUGAUAGGAUUUUCCUUCACUUGGAUAUGUUACAACUGCAUUCUGUUUGAUGGCUUAGAGUUGAAAAUUCGUGCUGCAAUAUGCUGUAAGGUCCUUGUGGGUUCGUGCUAUUGUACUCUGGUCUUGGUUCUUUUGUUUUGUUUUGAGAACUGUAUUCAGUUUUAUAUCUGUCUUGUUUUUUCAAGACUAUUUGCUGUCUUAUGUCGAGCAUUGGUUUAAAUGCAAAGAUCAAGAUUGUGGUUUUCUCUUACAAAAGCUGCUAUGCUAGCUGUUUUUUAAUUUUAUUUUUACGGUUAUUAUAGUUAUUAAAUCCGGCUUGACGGGCUGAUGUUCCAAGCCUAAGUCUUGAGAAGAGGGAAUCACACGUGGCAAGGAGUUAAUUGGCAAGUUAGCUAGGAAGUUAGUGGGAAUUAGCAAGGAUCUUAUAAUUGGUAGUUUGUUUCAAGUUAGUUAGGAGUUCAAUCCUUGUGCAAAAGAAAAUUGUACAAACCUUGAUGGAGGAGCAUAAGAAAUAAUACAAUAAUACAACAACAAUAGCAUAAA